AUGAGACACGGGCCCCACCUGUCAAUGACUAGCAAGUUAUCUUCUUUUUAUUCUGUGGAGCAUUCCAUCGAGCACCUUCUAGGCAUUCAUCCUCUGGUCCCUGAAGAAGGCACCGCACGCCAUGGCCAUGCCGGAGCAGUGACCAGCGGAACGGCGAGAGUAAGGACCAGAGGAACGGCAGGCCGGACGCCUCCACCUGAGAGCAGAGGCGCCUGCGUGAAGAAGAAGGCGACCGUCCGCACAGGUGAGCUCGCGCGGCGGCGCACCAUGGAGCCGGCAGAUGCAGCCGCGGCAGUGACAAACUUGGGUGGCGUACAUGGUUAUUCUUGUGCGGUUGUGGAGGCGACGGGGACUUGGGUUGCUCGUGCUAGGCAGGGGUCGCCCUGGUCGAGCGUCGCCGCCGCUAGCGCGCCCGCGGCCAACGGCCCGAUGUCCAUGGUGUUCUUCUGCAGAUGGUGGCGCGAGCGCAACGGCAAGUUGCGGGCCGAGCUCGAGGAGGUGGCGUCAGGGGCUCAUGGGGAGCGGAGCAGCUCGUGUGCCUCUCCAUGGAUUGCCGGCAGCGCACGGCAAGCGCAGCGGCGAGCUGCGGGCCGACCUCUGGGAGGUGGCGUUGGUGCCUCAUGGGGAGCGGCGGCGGCUCGUCUUUCUCUCCAUGGCGUGACGGCGGGUGACGAUAGGUGGGCGCCGCCACUCGGCAAGGAGAGAGACGGGGAAGGAGGACGGCGGCAUGCCGUUGCCAUGGUGGCCAUGGAGCUCUCGGCUCGGCUGUCCAUGCCAGCAGGGCGGCGGCGGCUCGUCUUUCUCUCCAUGGCGUGA
rnacentral:rRNA from 1 species